rnacentral:rRNA from 1 species
CGGGGUGAGUAACACGUGAGCAACCUGCCUUUCAGAGGGGGACAACAGUUGGAAACGACUGCUAAUACCGCAUAAAAUAACGGAACCGCAUGAUUCUGUUAUCAAAGGUGAAAUCCGCUGAAAGAUGGGCUCGCGUCUGAUUAGAUAGUUGGUGAGGUAACGGCCCACCAAGUCGACGAUCAGUAGCCGGACUGAGAGGUUGAACGGCCACAUUGGGACUGAGACACGGCCCAGACUCCUACGGGAGGCAGCAG